GACGAACGCUGGCGGCGUGCCUAAUACAUGCAAGUAGAACUCAUUUGCGUACGGGCGCGUAACUCGUAGGUCACUGCCUGGUAGCGGGGGAUAACUAUUGGAAACCAUUGCUAAUACCGUCUACUACUAGAUGGCCCUGCGUUUUAUUAGCUAGUUGGUGGGGUAAUGGCUCACCAAGGCAACGAUACAUAGCCUACCUGAGAGGGGGAUCGCGCACAAUGGGACGGGGACACGGCCCAGACUCCUACGGGAGGCAGCAGUAGGGGAUCUUCGGCAAUGGACGGAAGUCUGACCGAGCAACGCCGCGUGAGUGAAGAAGGUUUUCGGAUCGUAAAGCUCUGUUGUAAGAGAAGCGGUAUCUUACCAGAAAGGGACGGCUAACUACGUGCCAGCAGCCGCGGUAAUAC
rnacentral:rRNA from 1 species